UAGGUAUGUCAGGGUGAGAGAAUAGAUUAUAGUAUAUACGAAUACCCUCGAUGAUCGAUGAGAUACCGAUGCGAUUUUGGAUUUUUAGAUACGCUUUUAGGAGAUUUACCGUAGACAGAUUGCUAUAUUGUUACAUGUACAUAGGAAAGGUAGGACUCUUUUGAGGUUUCUCUGAAUAGGAAAAAAACGUGAAACAGCCACGUGAUUUAAUCGAAUAACGAAAUUAUAUCAAUGAUAAAAAAAUUUUAACUGUUUCAUCGAGACGAAAACGUGAUUCGAAACUAUAACACGUGAUAGUGAUGAAAACGAUUCAACUUAGCACGUGUUCUCAUGAGUGAAAGCCAUGGAUUGAUUCGUGACGAGCAAAUUUACUUAUAUUAGUGUAUCAGUGUAGUUUUUAACCAGACAAAGUUCGCAAGAAAUUUUUUUGAAAUUUUAUUGAAAUGUUUCGAUGUGAAUAUCAUGAACAUUGAUGAAUAUAAAUCUUAUGCAACGUUUUAUUGAUUUCUGACGUAAUACGAGCAAAAGACUGGGUAGAUGAUACGGGAAAAACGUAUGGGUUACUAUACAUAGGAUUGAAAACCGCGAAGCAUCUAUUCACAGUUUGUAUUCACGCGAUGCUCGCAUGGUUACCAGUUCGAUGUUUGAAAAAUCCUACCCGGACCCGGUCAUUUUCUAAUUUUCUAGCGUGCAAUCUUGAGUGGACGUUGGUCCAUUGAUUAGAGGUUCCGGCGACUUCUCUUAUCUUCGGCUUUUUUCAUCAUGUACUCAUUAUCGAAAUAGCGAGCGAAAAAAUUAGACUGCAUGCAAAAAAUGACAUUACUAUUCCUUAAAUUUGUUAAACAUAAUUAAUCUGUCAUCGUGAUGCAUUGAGGAUUAGUGAUUUACCGACUCUGGAUAAAAAAACAUGAAAUAAAAAAUUCGUAUUGGAUUGCGAAUGAGAAUUUCGCAAUUGAUGGAUGUCAAAGAGUCGUCAAACACGGUGCCGAUAUUCGUCAAUUUUCAGAAAUUUUGUGGAUUUAUCGCGUCACGCUAGACAAAAUAAAAUUAUGUAAUUCCAUCAGAGACGCUGUCUGCCUAUUUUGACCUUUCCGAGUAAUAGAUAUAGGCUUCAAGAAUCCAAACAUAAUGACCACAUAAGGAAGAAAACAGUCAUCGUAUAAUUAUCUUGUUGAUAUCUGUAGCAUACAUGAAAAUCAAGGAAUUAGUCAUUGUUUUGUCAAAUUCGCUUUUUUUUUUUAGUCUUAUCUUUUUUUUAAUGGCUAUCGUUUGUGCAAUAAUCGACAAUCCGUCGAUUAUUUAUCAUCAAGAAUUUGUUAAAAAACAUUAUCGAGACAAAGAAUAAGGAUUAUUCAUAUGAUGGAUUUCUUUGUUUUUUGUUUUUUUUGAAAUAAUAGAAAUGAUAAGAUGCGAAAGUAAAAUUGAUUUGAAAAUGGAAUGAA